rnacentral:tRNA from 1 species
UCCCUGGAGGACUAGUGGUUAGGCCAUUGCGUUCUCACCGCCGCGGCCCGAGUUCGAUUCCCGGCCAGGGAA